UACGUAGGGGGCAAGCGUUGUCCGGAUUUAUUGGGCGUAAAGAGCGUGUAGGCGGCCAGGUAGGUCCGUUGUGAAAACUCGAGGCUCAACCUCGAGACGUCGGCGGAAACCAUCUGACUAGAGUCCGGAAGAGGAGAAUGGAAUUCCUGGUGUAGCGGUGAAAUGCGCAGAUAUCAGGAAGAACACCCGUGGCUAAGGCGGUUCUCUAGUACGGUACUGACGCUGAGACGCGAAAGCGUGGGGAGCGAACAGG
rnacentral:rRNA from 1 species